AUGGCAAAGCAAAGGACCAGCACAGGGCCAGGCUUCCAGCAACAUGCCAGAGUCUGUGCCAGACAGCCCGGCUGUGGGAGAUCCAGGACUUCUGUCCCCUCGUGUGGCCUCCCCAGUGCCGGGAUCCCAGGCUGGAGGCCCCGAUGGAAGAUACAACCCCAGCCUUGUUCUGACCAGCUGCGAAGCUCAGCUGGCCGGAUCUUAGGUGCCUCCCAGUUACAGGGUGRCAGCGGCCCUGCUGAGGCGUCUUGCACGGCUGUCCUGUCGGUGGCAAGACUCAGCCCUUGCCGAGGCUUCCCGCUGCUCCCUGGCAGCCCCGUUGCAGCGUCCCUCCCCGCCGCCCUGGGAAGGCACUGCCGCAGCCCACGCCUGCCGCCUCUGACAGCCGCCGUCCAGCCACAGCUCUGGCCACUUCACCUCCUCGCGGAAACCUGCCCCUGCCUUUGCCACGCAGAGUGUUUCCUUCCUCCGGCCCUCACCGGUAACGGCACCAGAGCAGGACAACUCACCUGGCCCGACCGCGCCAAGCCCGCCUGGACGAGGCGGUGUGCCGGCCCUCGCAGGCCUGCGAGCUUCGCGGGGCUCUGCUGCCCGGUGCUGCUCCUCUGCUACGCUGCCGCCUCACCGAGCUCCAGCGCGCGGGACGGCCCCGCGGCCAGGGCUGGGCUCGGGGUGGACCUCGUGGAGCCACGGCGGCCGCAGCUUGGCGGGGCGAGGAACUCGGGGCGGCCGGGUGGCGGGGGGAGGAGGGUCGGGGCUCGGAUCGCUCCCUCACCGGGACGCAGCCRCAGCACUGGCAGGCCUGGCAACGCUUGUGGGCUGGGACGUGCUUCCCCUUCACUCCCCACGGCCUCGAAGCUCCUUCCUUUCCUGUGGACGGCAGUGCCGACGCGGGCGGGCGGCUGCCAUGGCCCCGCCGGCAGCCCAAGGGGCCUGGGGGCCUGCUGCUGCGGUGGCCAGGGCUGCGCAGGCACCAGCGACGGCCCCCGGCGUUCAGGGUGCUACGCUCGGCSUUUCGGGGAAUGCUUCCCAAACAUCUGA
rnacentral:lncRNA from 1 species